AGGUUCUUAGCAGGAGGCUGGGACUGCCUUGAAGAUGCAGUUAAUUCAUCUCAAUUUUCCUUUGUUGUCCCCAAUGAAUCGCUAGAAGACCACAUCAGGAAGCAAGCAUCAGCUGAAAGUUAUGAGUUACCUAAGAAAGUACAAGAUCCCCUUGGUGAACUCCAGCUUCAAGCACCCAGCGUGCAACCACCAGCACAGUCGAGCUAUAAACCCCGCCAACCUCUAACAUUUCGUGGUGUUUGAAGCACCAGCCUUCAGUACAGUCUUGAAUGACUGUUGUCGCUGUCACUACUGUGUCACAGCUGAACUCUGCCAAAUGUAGGAUACGCAAGCCAGAUCUGUUUGCUGUGAACUACUCCAUGAGGCUGUAUCUAACUCUCCCUGGUUGCCCUACGCAUUGAAGUUUUGUGAUUUAAAUGAGGAUACCCAAGACAAUGGCAUAGUCCAUGGUACACAAAUAGCGGAAUAGAUUGAGAUUUGGCAUUA